UUGGAGGGCAAGUCUGGUGCCAGCAGCCGCGGUAAUUCCAGCUCCAAUAGCGUAUAUUAAAGUUGUUGCAGUUAAAAAGCUCGUAGUUGAAUUUCGGGAUCAGAUUGUCGGUCGUGCCUCGGUACGCACUGGCAUUAUUGGUUCCUACCUUCUGAAGAACCGCGAUGUCAUUAAUUUGGUGUCGUGGGGAAUCAGGACUGUUACUUUGAAAAAAUUAGAGUGUUUAAAGCAGGCGCACGCUUGAAUACAUUAGCAUGGAAUAAUGAAAUAGGACGUUUGAUUCUAUUUUGUUGGUUUCUAGGAUCGACGUAAUGAUUAAUAGGGAUAGUUGGGGGCAUUAGUAUUCAAUUGUCAGAGGUGAAAUUCUUGGAUUUAUUGAAGACUAACUACUGCGAAAGCAUUUGCCAAGGAUGUUUUCAUUAAUCAAGAACGAAAGUUAGGGGAUCGAAGACGAUCAGAUACCGUCGUAGUCUUAACCAUAAACUAUGCCGACUAGGGAUCGGGCGAUGUUCUUUUUCUGACUCGCUCGGCACCUUACGGGAAACCAAAGUGUUUGGGUUC
rnacentral:rRNA from 1 species